CACGGGUGAGUAACACGUAUCCAACCUGCCGUCUACUCUUGGACAGCCUUCUGAAAGGAAGAUUAAUACAAGAUGGCAUCAUGAGUUCACAUGUUCACAUGAUUAAAGGUAUUCCGGUAGAUGAUGGGGAUGCGUUCCAUUAGAUAGUAGGCGGGGUAACGGCCCACCUAGUCUUCGAUGGAUAGGGGUUCUGAGAGGAAGGUCCCCCACAUUGGAACUGAGACACGGUCCAA
rnacentral:rRNA from 1 species